rnacentral:rRNA from 1 species
AGUGAACGCUGGCGGUAGGCCUAACACAUGCAAGUCGAACGGCAGCACAGUAAGAGCUUGCUCUUACGGGUGGCGAGUGGCGGACGGGUGAGGAAUACAUCGGAAUCUACUUUUUCGUGGGGGAUAACGUAGGGAAACUUACGCUAAUACCGCAUACGACCUACGGGUGAAAGCAGGGGAUCUUCGGACCUUGCGCGAUUGAAUGAGCCGAUGUCGGAUUAGCUAGUUGGCGGGGUAAAGGCCCACCAAGGCGACGAUCCGUAGCUGGUCUGAGAGGAUGAUCAGCCACACUGGAACUGAGAAACGGUCCAGACUCCUACGGGAGGCAGCAGUGGGGGAUAUUGGACAAUGGGCGCAAGCCUGAUCCAGCCAUACCGCGUGGGUGAAGAAGGCCUUCGGGUUGUAAAGCCCUUUUGUUGGGAAAGAAAAGCAGCAGGUUAAUACCCCGCUGUUCUGACGGUACCCAAAGAAUAAGCACCGGCUAACUUCGUG